rnacentral:rRNA from 1 species
CUAAGGCUCCAGAGGAAGCCACGGCUAACUCUGUGCCAGCAGCCGCGGUAAUACAGAGGCGGCAAGCGUUGUUCGGAAUUAUUGGGCGUAAAGAGCACGUAGGCGGCCUUGCAAGUCAGUUGUGAAGGCCUUCCGCUUAACGGAAGAAUGCCAGCUGAUACUACAGGGCUUGAGUACGGGAGGGGAGAGUGGAACUUCUGGUGGAGCGGUGAAAUGCGUAGAUAUCAGAAGGAACGCCGGCGGCGAAAGCGACUCUCUGGCCCGAAACUGACGCUGAGUGUGCGAAAGCUAGGGGAGCAAACGGGAUUAGAUACCCCGGUAGUCCUAGCCGUAAA